AAUAACCUGAAUCUAAUCAUGAGGAAACCACCAAAAAGUCCAAACUGAUGGACAUUCUAUAAGAUAACUAAUUGGCUUAUAAUUUUCAAAAAACGUCAAGUUCAUAGAAGUUAAGGAAAGACUAAAGAGGCAUGACGCCUGAGCCUGUGGGUUCAACUGGGAACAGGAAGCAACUUCCUUCCUCUCUAGGGACACUGCAUUCUAGUUGCUAUGAGGGACAUAAUUGAGACAACUGGCAAACCUGAAUGAGGCCUGUGGAUCAGACAGUACUAAUGUCAAUUGCCUGAUUCUGAGGGCGACAUUGUGAUCAUGCUGGAGAGCGUCCUUGUUUGUAGGAAAGACACACUCAAGGAUUCAGGAGUGACGGGACAUCAUUUUGGCAAGUUACUCUCCAAAGGUUCAGGAAAAAAAAAAAAAAUUCUUUGUACUACUUUUUCAACUUAAUGUAAGUCUGAAAUUAGUUGCAAAGAAAAAGACUUGGCAAGAAAGACAAUAGCAAAUUGCAGAAGUGAUUUACAGUCCAAAAGGGGAAAUGACAGUAUUUCUGCAAAUAAAACAAACUCUGGAAAAUUCUCUCUUGUACUUACACUGCUGGCAGUUUUUUCUUAAUCCAGGCACCAUGACUGUAUUAAGUAUACAUAUCUAUCACUUUAUCUAUCCAUCCGUAAGGGGCAGUAACAAUUAUCUGAAAAAGGAGCCUCGAAGCCUCAAGAUGGUGCAUAAUUCAUUUAAAUUGUAGGUUGUGUAAAAAACUAAAAGUGAGAUGACCAAAAAAGCUCAUGUGCAUGUUUUAGAGAAGGCUCAGGUUUAAGCAUCAACAAUUAUCUCCAGUCAAACUUCUGCAUUAAUAUUUAAUUGAAGUUAUUUAAAUUUUUUAAAAACUUUAAGGUUGGUUUUCCAGGUAAAUUAUCUCACUCCAUAGGUUAUGUUAGCAGCAAAGGAACAAGUCAGAAGCACCAGCCCCGCGCUACCACUGAUAGCAUUUUCUGGAUAUUUGACAUUCAGAGACCCCAUUCCACUAUAUUCUCUGUAGGAUAUUUCAGGCCAGCUCCAAGUUGUCAUCCGAGCUCCCAAAAUUGGCAUUCCCAGCAUAGUUUCAUUUUCUUUCAUAACAAUAUCCCCACUGCCACAGCCUUUCAAGAAUUUGGCUCAUAAAAGGCCCACCAUGACUAAGGGUUUUGCUUUUUGUUCCUCAUUUACAACUUGUCCUCAAUUUGUAGAAUCUGGGGCUUGAAUAACCUUCAGUUCUACUUGCUCUAACUUGGCUGAAGAUUUCAGUAACUACUUGGGCCUCAGAGUAACACACAGAGAACAUAUGUACUAUUCUCCCAGAGAGUAGCUGUAACACUAUAAGAAUAGAAAGUGAAACCAGCGGGUCAAGUACAAUCCCUUCCUUCAACACAGCUGUAUCAAACAGCGGAAUUCUGACUGCUCUCCCUACCCCCAGCCCCAAUCUGUUAUCUGCCCUGCAGCUAGAGUACUCUUCUAAAAGCACAAAUAUGAUCUGCUCAAAGCUGACUGUUGUCGCCUGCACCUGCUCCAGCUUCAUCUUCCCGCCCUGUACAACUCUCGGAACUUCCAGGCAGUGGUCUGCGCCAGGGCGUCCACGUCUCUGCCUCCUAGCCUCAAGAACAUCCCUUUUCACUGGCUAACGCUUACAUUCUUCAGGUCUCAGCUUUAAAAUCACUUUCUUGGCAAGCCUCCUUAGUGUCUGCAGGCCAGGCCCCAAAUCUGUCUGUCCCACUGGACGCUAAUCUCCAUGAGGCCCAAGACCGAUUCUGUCUGUUCACCACUCCUACAGUAUGGCGAAGGCUGAUGAUUAAUAAACUAUGAACUUACAAUGUCUACCAGGCAAGAAGGAACAGAGAGGAGACCUGCAGCCUAGUAAAAGAAAGCUGGGACACAAGCAGUUAGAUUGAGGAAAACGAUGAUUUGCCAUAAAAAAGAAAAGGUUCUGUGGGACCUGGGUAGAAAUUCAGUUCUGAGAUCCUUGGUCGCAUACCUGGCAGUGGGAAGAAAGAAAACACACUACGGCUAAAGAGGACCAGGGUGAAGACACCCCCAGAGACCUUCCUACCGCAAGGGCCGAGGGUCCCUGACGUCUGAUGAGAGGAAACACCUGGAUACACCCCAGUACAUCAAGCAGGGCUGAUGGACUUUCCACGUCCUUUCUGGUCCUGUUCCUUACUGGAAAACAGAGCACACAAGCCCUGUUAGCCCUAAGGUACUACAGAUGGGUUUGUAUCUGAACAGGAAAUAAAUGGAGAAUUAGGCCAAUCAUUAGAAUUUAAUUCAACCAAUAUUUAUUGAGUACUGGGUACUGCUGAGGCCUCACAACAGCACUCCAAAAUUUAUAAUGGGGUCAAAAGGGCGGUCAUUGAUAAUACAUGCAGAGUGUAAUAUAUUGAAAUAUAGCAAAGAAAUAUAAUAGGGCCUUUGAUACAACCAAGUGAAGACCCCAAGCAAAUAUCCAAUAAAUGCUAUGGGAGCACCCAGACUACCAAGCUGGUAUGGCCUCCGCU